CUAUAUUAAUUUUUAGCCAAAUUGGCUAAGUUUAGAGAAAGAAAGAGAAGAAAAGAGACACUAAGCCAAGCACCCUCAAUUUCCUAUAUCUGGUAAUUAAAAGGAUGGACAGGAAAAAAAUAAACCACUUCAGUACUCAUUAAUCUCCAUUUCCGUUCUCUCCAUCUCCCUCUCUAAUAAUUCACUCUCCAAUACUACCAAGACACCAAAACAAAAAAAAUUCACUAAAUUCUCAGAAACUUGGAAUAGCAAACGAAAUUGGAAGGGGAUUUGGACAUAAUACUGUCAAGAGAAGACUUCAAAAAUAACUUGGAGUAGCAAUUGAGCAAGAAUCAAACCAAUUAAGAGGUAAGUCAUAUGUUAUGAAUUUGAACAUAGAAAGUGAGUUGAAUAAUGUCUUAUAUGGUCAUGUUUGUUAUGCUUGGUUGGGAAAUUGUGUGUGGUAAAGGGAUUAUAUGAUGGUUGGAGCUAUAAGGAAGGAUUAUCAUGAAAAUCCUUUGCUAAACAGUACCUAAAGAAAAUCUGGAAAAUAAACUAUGAACACAUAAUGUUUGAUAAAAUACCUCAAAGAGGUUUAAUGCUUAAAAAUCAAAAAUUAAGCAAAGCUUGGGGCUACGUAACCUUUAUAUAUGUGUUACGAUGUUAAUUAAGCUAAUUGGGUGAAUCAAAUCAAGCUUAAAGCAAGUUUUAAAGAAUUUCUAAACAUUUGAAUUUGAUGAAAAAGUAUUUAACAUUGCAUAUUCAAGCCUAUGAAAUCAGAUCAUAACGAGUCCGAAUUGGGCAUAGUAUAUUUUUAUAAAAUACUAUGUAUUACCAUGUAUAACAUAUCAAAAUUUGGGAACAAUCGGAUAAAAGGAUUGCAAGAUACAAAAUCGCGAAGUAGCUAAGAAAUCAUCAAAAGUGCUGGAAAUUCUGGGCAGCCCCUGCUCCAAAUCCCAACUUCUGUUGUAUAUUAAGAAAUUCUCUAAGUCAUAUUGAAAAUAUGUGAUAUAGCUAAUUAUUAUCAAAUGAAGUGGAGUAUACAAAGUUUACUUAAAGUUAGUAAACUAGUUAAUGUAAGUAUAUUCAUGUAUAGUUUUUGUUAAAAAUUGGAUCCUUGUGGACUGAAUUAGAGCCAUGGAGAUUAGCGUGGUUGUGCGGAGUAAUAAGGUGGGAAAAAAUUGGCUAGAACACAAUCCAAACUCUAUGAAAACUGAAUUUUAAAGCGACACACACUAUGUGUUAGCUAAAAGUCCUCUAAGGACUGUUUUUGUAAAAAAAAAAAUGAAAACUAAGCGAAGACAAGACCCGAGUUAUAUAUAUACACAUUAUAUAUAACUAAUUAGAGGGUUUGGGUGAAUGGAAUCGAGAGAGGAAAUAUUUUUUGAGACAAAACGAAAGGUCCGAAAGAUUGUGUGACUGCUGACCCUAAAACAUAAAUUCGGGGAGAGUAUAUGUUUCCAAAAAAUUCUGGGCUUUUGGGGUAUUAUAGUACACUGAAUAAGCUUUCCAUAGACUCCAGAACGGACUAAUUCAGAUUUCGGAGUAAAGAGUUAUGACCAUUCAAAGUAGUCGCGUCAAAACUGUCCAACCAAUUCCGACCAGUCCCCUUUGCACGAAAUUCUGGACUGUUGUGUUUGGAAUUUGGAAAAGGUCAAAAGUAGGAGUUGUAGCCCCGGAAGUUAGCUUCGCGUGGGCGCAAGAAUCGCUCAAAAAUGUUUUGAAACGAAAAAGUUAUGAUUGUUUUAGUGAGAGAGGGUAAAGCUGAAACGAAAGUGAAAACUGUUAUGAACGUACACUUUUGGCGCUCUGUUUGGGCAGCCUAACAAAUCCAAAAUGGGAUUUUGAUAUUUUUUAAAAAUAGUCUCAUAUGAUACGAAAAACAUACAAAAAUUUAUAAUCGAUCCGAUAAACGAGCAAGGCGUGAGAAAAUCGCAAAGUAGGCAACUCGUUAAGUGUUGCAGCAGGCCAAGGCGGCAGCAGCAGGGCAGGCAGCGCCCAGCGCCGCUGACACCUGCUGUGCAUGCUGCUGCUGGAGUGAUUUUUGAGCUCCGUUACGGGUAGUCUCUGUGGUUCGUUUUCGCGGAUAGAAAUUUUAAAAAAAUACUAUGACAUGAGGUCUAUAACAUACCAUAAAUUUGCCGCGAUUCGAUUAAUGUUUUAAGAAUUAAAAAUUUGCGAAUGAGCAUGUCAGAACUUAAAAACAAGUGACGCCGAACAUAUCCAACAUGAGCUGUUUUGAGGUUCGACGUUUCAGAUCGUAUUUGGGCUAAAUUUUAAGCAACAUAAAGCCUAAUAAAGACCCAAGAUCGAAGUAUUGAGGUUAUAUCGUACUUUAUGCCAUGAAAAUUCAUUCCGGGCAUAAAGAAUGAAAUAAAAAUGUAAGGUAAUUAUAAAUUUACAUAGAUAUGUGAAUGUAAGCCUGAAAUGACACAUAAAAUGGUUUUAUAGCGAAACGAAAAACAUGAAAACCAUUAAAAAUAAUAAUGGUUAUGAAAGUAAUAAAAUGAAGGUUUCUGGAGUUUGAAACGAACAUUUUGAACGAAUAAUUAUAACGGAUAUAGUUAUGUAUAUGCGAAGCGAGAAUGCGAAUUAUUCGCGAGAUAAAAUGUGAAGCUAAGUUGCUUAUGAAAUAAAGCAUUCGCGUAAGAGAUUCGCGUAAGAGGGGAUAUGAUGAUUUAACUCAUGAAUUGUCAAAAAGACAUAAAAAUUAUAUAAAUAAAAGAAAUAAUAUAGUAAGUCGUGUUUUACAAUAAAAGUUAUAUAUUAAUCAUUUAAAUCCCGACUUUGCGAGUAAAGGCAAAUGAUAUUUCUAAAAUAGAAUAUGGAUGGUUCAAGCUUCAAGAUGUAAAAUAUUUACAUAUUAAAAUGUGAGAGACCUUUAUUGUGCAUAAAAAGGUUAAAAUGAAUAAAGUUUCUAAAUAAACCAAGAUUGGUUUUAAGAUGAGAAUAAAAUAUUAUAGUUUAUAUACACUAAUAAUCAUGGUUAAUAUAUAUGCAUGCAUGUUUUUGUUACAUAAAUGGUUACUUAAUAUGUGUGUAUAUGUAAACACGAUUGUGUAGAAAUUUUGGAAGGAAGCUAAGUUAAUUUUAACGACAAUCUCCAAUCAAGGCAAGUUUCUCAGUUUAUUUAUGUGGACUUAUAAAUGCUAUAAAUAAUUGUUAGCAUGACUUAUGUUUAUAGAUAUGUAAUGCCUAUGAAUUGCAUUAAUUGCUUUGUGAAUGAUGAAAGUCAAAUUAUGACUAAUUGUUGAAUUGAGUCGGGGAACUCAAUAUAUAUGUGCAAUGAAUGACAGAUGCAAUUCAUGUGUAGUAUGCUAUGGUGCGUAUGUUACUACUAAUAGAAUUUAAGUUUGAUGAUGCGAUUGUAAUAUGCUUGAACUCCAAGAAUAUAAAUGAAUGAACUGAAUGUGAAACUUAUAUGCUAUGUGAUGCAUGAUAGGCUGUUAGACUUGCUGGGUCGUCGUGCUCAAUCUUGCUUAAUUUGCAGGUUAAUAAAGCUAUGAUGCGAUCUCUCGUGAUUAGAAGCGCUUGAAAAGAAGAAUAGUUGUUUAAUGCAGAAAGUAUUAAACCCUGAUGAUGGUAUUUUACAUGUAAACCACAGAGAAGUAAAUCGUUGAAUAAUUCAAUAGAUGAAGAUCAUUUGUUCUGAAUUAGGAAUAUGUUUGAAAUAAUGAAUUAUACAUAUAUUCAUAUCUAUUUAUAUUAAAUAAAUCAUGUAAUAAAUAUGAUUUUAAAUAUUAAGAAGAAUCGUAAAGGUUGCGAUUCAGGGAACGAAUGAAUGAAUGGAAAGAAAGGAAAAAAAAUUUAUUCCGCAUUUUUUAGCUA
rnacentral:lncRNA from 1 species